AACGAACGCUGGCGGCAUGCCUUACACAUGCAAGUCGAACGGUAACAGGUUAAGCUGACGAGUGGCGAACGGGUGAGUAACACAUCGGAACGUGCCCAAUCGUGGGGGAUAACGUAGCGAAAGCUACGCUAAUACCGCAUACGAUCUACGGAUGAAAGCGGGGGAUCGCAAGACCUCGCGCGAAUGGAGCGGCCGAUGGCAGAUUAGGUAGUUGGUGGGGUAAAGGCUCACCAAGCCGACGAUCUGUAGCUGGUCUGAGAGGACGACCAGCCACACUGGGACUGAGACACGGCCCAGACUCCUACGGGAGGCAGCAGUGGGAAUUUUGGGACAAUGGGCGCAAGCCUGAUCCAGCAAUGCCGCGUGCAGGAUGAAGGCCUCGGUGUAAGCUCUUUGUCAGGGAAGAAAAGGUACGUGGCUAAUAUCCACGACUGCUGACGGUACCUGAAGAAUAAGCACCGGCUAACUACGUGCCAGCAGCCGCGGUAAU
rnacentral:rRNA from 1 species